rnacentral:rRNA from 1 species
CCUACGGGUGACAGCAGUGGGGAAUAUUGCACAAUGGGGGAAACCCUGAUGCAGCGACGCCGCGUGAGUGAUGAAGUUUUUCGGAAUGUAAACUAUUGUCGUUAGGGAAGAGAAAGGACAGUACCUAAGGAGGAAGCUCCGGCUAACUACGUGCCAGCAGCCGCGGUAAUACGUAGGGAGCGAGCGUUAUCCGGAAUUAUUGGGUGUAAAGGGUGCGUAGACGGGAAAACAAGUUAGUUGUGAAAUCCCUCGGCUUAACUGAGGAACUGCAACUAAAACUAUUUUUCUUGAGUGCAGGAGAGGUAAGUGGAAUUCCUAGUGUAGCGGUGAAAUGCGUAGAUAUUAGGAGGAACACCAGUGGCGAAGGCGACUUACUGGACUGUAACUGACGUUGAGGCACGAAAGUGUGGGGAGCAAACAGGAUUAGAUACCCUAGUAGUC